rnacentral:misc_RNA from 1 species
AAGUCGUAACAAGGUCUCCGUUGGUGAACCAGCGGAGGGAUCAUUACUGAGUUUUUGUACUCUACAAACCAUGUGUGAACAUACCCUUCUUCUAUAAGACGAACGCUGCUUUGGUGGUUUUGAGCCCCGUUUCCUGUUAAAAAGGGAAGAAGGGGGGCAAACUCUAAGCUGCCGGCAGCAUAGUCUUACCACUAAAACUCUUUUAUUUUUUUUACUAGAAAUUUGAUUUCAUUGCUGAGUGGCAUAAACUAUAAAAAGUUAAAA